rnacentral:rRNA from 1 species
AGUGAACGCUGGCGGUAGGCCUAACACAUGCAAGUCGAACGGCAGCACAGUAAGAGCUUGCUCUUACGGGUGGCGAGUGGCGGACGGGUGAGGAAUACAUCGGAAUCUACUUUUUCGUGGGGGAUAACGUAGGGAAACUUACGCUAAUACCGCAUACGACCUACGGGUGAAAGCAGGGGAUCUUCGGACCUUGCGCGAUUGAAUGAGCCGAUGUCGGAUUAGCUAGUUGGCGGGGGAAAGGCCCACCAAGGCGACGAUCCGUAGCUGGUCUGAGAGGAUGAUCAGCCACACUGGAACUGCGACACGGUCCAGACUCCUACGGGAGGCAGCAGUGGGGAAUAUUGGACAAUGGGCGCAAGCCUGAUCCAGCCAUACCGCGUGGGUGAAGAAGGCCUUCGGGUUGUAAAGCCCUUUUGUUGGGAAAGAAAAGCAGCGGGUUAAUACCCCGCUGUUCUGACGGUACCCAAAGAAUAAGCACCGGCUAACUUCGUG